UACGUAGGGGGCAAGCGUUGUCCGGAUUUAUUGGGCGUAAAGAGCGUGUAGGCGGCCAGACAGGUCAGCUGUGAAAACUCGAGGCUCAACCUCGAGACGUCGGUUGAAACCGUCUGGCUAGAGUCCGGAAGAGGAGAGUGGAAUUCCCGGUGUAGCGGUGAAAUGCGUAGAUAUCGGAAGGAACACCUGUGGCGAAAGCGGCUCACUGGACCAUAACUGACGCUGAGGCACGAAAGCUAGGGGAGCAAACAGG
rnacentral:rRNA from 1 species